CCUACGGGAGGCAGCAGUGGGGAAUAUUGCACAAUGGGGGAAACCCUGAUGCAGCGACGCCGCGUGAGUGAGGAAGUAUUUCGGUAUGUAAAGCUCUAUCAGCAGGGAAGAAAAUGACGGUAACUGACUAAGAAGCCCCGGCUAACUACGUGCCAGCAGCCGCGGUUAUACGUAGGGGGCAAGCGUUAUCCGGAUGUACUGGGGGUAAAGGGAGCGUAGACGGAAGAGCAAGUCUGAAGUGAAAACCCGGGGCUCAACCCCGGGAGUGCAUUGGAAACUGUUGUUCUAGAGUGUCGGAGGGGCAAGCGGAAUUCCUGGGGGAGCGGUGAAAUGCGUAGAUAUUAGGAGGAACACCAGUGGCGAAGGCGGCUUGCUGGACGAUGACUGACGUUGAGGCUCGAAAGCGUGGGGAGCAAACAGGAUUAGAUACCCGAGUAGUC
rnacentral:rRNA from 1 species